rnacentral:rRNA from 1 species
AUGGAUAAAGUGAUGCUUGUUAAAUCCCUUGGUUUCAACUUAAUGUCUGUCUCAAUGCUUUGUGACUUGAACAUGAUUGUGAUAUUUGGCAAAUAUUGUUGCCUUGUACUAAUGGAAUCUGACAAAUCUCUAGUCUUUGAAGGGUAUCGAAAAGAUGAUCUAUACAUGGUAGAUUUCUCAGCAGGUCCACAGCUUGCCGUAUGUCUUCUCACAAAAGCUUCAGAAUGCUGGCUCUGGCAUCAAAGGCUGGGACAUGCUGGCAUGAGGAACUUACACUCACUCGUCAAGAAGAAGCAUGUCAUAGGCAUCGAAGAUGUCUAG